CGGGGCUUAAAGUCUUGUAAUUGGAAUGAUGGGAAUUUAAACCUCUUCCAGAGUAUCAAUUGGAGGGCAAGUCUGGUGCCAGCAGCCGCGGUAAUUCCAGCUCCAAUAGCGUAUAUUAAAAUUGUUGCAGUUAAAAAGCUCGUAGUUGAAUUUCUGCUGCAUUGCUUGUGUCCCUCUGGGGUCUGUGCAUGUGGGUUUUUUCGGACGGAGUUUCUUUGUCUGAAUGUUUACUUUGAGAAAAUUAGAGUGCUCAAAGCAGGCUUUCGCCUUGAAUAGUUUAGCAUGGAAUAAUAAAGUAGGACUUUGGUUCUAUUUUGUUGGUUUUAGGUACCAAAGUAAUGGUUAAUAGGAACAGUUGGGGGCAUUCGUAUUUAACUGUCAGAGGUGAAAUUCUUAGAUUUGUUAAAGACGAACUACUGCGAAAGCAUUUGCCAAGGAUGUUUUCAUUAAUCAAGAAC
rnacentral:rRNA from 1 species